UGAAGCAAACGUGAAAAGAGCAAGCUAACCGAAAUCGAAAAGUCGCCAUUGCGUUCGGCUUAAUUACCGCGAGUUUGCUGCUGAUUCCACCAUCUCGUUGGAGGUACACCCGCGAGGUGCCCUGGAGAACGAGACGCUGCUGAUUCCAAGACCGUUACGGGAGGAACGAAAAAGAAGUCGAUUAACCAGUUCCGUAUGAGGCUUCGUGCAGAAUUCCGGGAAGGCUAGGGAGCGGAAGGAUCCGAGAUCGGCAACUAAACGGAACAAGGCAAGAAAGUUCCGUUUCCACGGAGAGCGGACAUCGGAAGAAAUAACUUCCGAUCACUAUUGGCUGCAAGGAACAUUUCCCAGAUCCCCAAAUUGGGUGAGUGCGGAUGGACUGAGGAACAGAAACGGAGAUUAC